GACAGAGGGUGCAACCGUUGUUCGGAAUUACUGGGCGUAAAGCGCGUGUAGGCGGCUAUGUAAGUCGGGCGUGAAAUCCCACGGCUCAACCGUGGAAGUGCACUCGAAACUGCAUAGCUAGAGUCCUGGAGAGGAAGGUGGAAUGCUUGGUGUAGAGGUGAAAUUCGUAGAUAUCAAGCGGAACACCGGUGGCGAAGGCGGCCUUCUGGACAGUGACUGACGCUGAGACGCGAAAGCGUGGGGAGCAAACAGG
rnacentral:rRNA from 1 species